rnacentral:misc_RNA from 1 species
GGCUACACUCUGAAUACACCCUUAGUCUAUGUUGCUCGAACUCUUUAAAAAUGUCAACGGGUGCGUGUAGAAUCCUUCAAAACUAGUGUUAUUUUCAAGGAUCUGACACGGAUGGACAACAUUUUUGGAGAGUCCGAUCAACUUAGCCCUCAGUGAACUUGUUAUGUCAUAACAACUUGUAAAGUGGAUGAUUUACGCAUCUACAUCAGUUUCCUUUCUUUUCUCUCUUAUAGAUUGACAGUGGAGAUCCCUGGUAAAACUUGUAGUGGUAUCCAAGAAGUAGAGAACAAUCGACAUUACACAGCAACCUACAAACAUCGGUAUGGGACCAAAUAUCCAAAGGAAGAGAGGAAAUGACAAAUAAAAUGCUCGUAGUCCAAGUGACCAAAACAUGCUCCCUCGGUUCAAAUUCCU